UGUAAACAGAGGAAAUUCUGCUGACAUUUUUAGUUCUGCAGGUUGUUGAUAUUGAUGAGGAGGUUGAUGUUAUAAUUUCAGAGUGGAUGGGAUACAUGCUUCUGUAUGAGAGGUUGGAAGUGUCAUUACAGCGAGAGAUCGCUGGCUAAAACCUGGAGGUGUUAUAUUUCCUUCAAAUGCAACGGUUUCAUAGCUAUGCAUGCCACACUUGCCAGUCGCAAUGUGGACUAUUGUUUGAUUCCA